rnacentral:rRNA from 1 species
UACGUAGGGGGCAAGCGUUGUCCGGAAUCAUUGGGCGUAAAGCGCGUGUAGGCGGUUUCGUAAGUCUGCUGUGAAAGUCGGAGGCUCAACCUUCGAAAGCCGGUGGAUACUGUGAGACUUGAGUACGGAAGAGGAGAGUGGAAUUCCUGGUGUAGCGGUGAAAUGCGCAGAUAUCAGGAGGAACACCAAUGGCGAAGGCAGCUCGCUGGAACGGUACUGACGCUGAGGCGCGAAAGCGUGGGGAGCAAACAGG